AAAUAGGCUUUUUUAAAAGUCACAAAUCAGAAAUUGACAUAAAUUA
rfam:Cavia porcellus supercont2_9 genomic scaffold, whole genome shotgun sequence.